rnacentral:tRNA from 1 species
GAGAGGUCCAGAAGACCUGCUAACUCUUCAAUC